rnacentral:lncRNA from 1 species
GUGCUCCCUGCUUGCAGACAAAAUUUGCAGUUCUUUCUAUAAUCGCAUGCAUUUUUGCUGUUGGUGGCAGUUCCACAUCAGAAGGUACAUUCAGUCCCGGAGGGGCAACAAAAGGUUCUUCAUUUUCUUCCACGUUUUCUGUCUGAGCUGUUUCUCUUUGUUUUGCAGGCUGAUGCUCCUCUUCCUCAGUGGGUUCUGAAGGGUCAUAAUAAUCACUGCCAUAACGGAAUCCCACUGCAUUAUAGGUACCAUCUUCCGCCAAAGCUUCGCUCAGUCUUUUAUAUUCCUCCUCUUGCCUCGCC